CCUACGGGAGGCAGCAGUGGGGAAUAUUGGACAAUGGGCGAAAGCCUGAUCCAGCCAUGCCGCGUGUGUGAAGAAGGCCUUCGGGUUGUAAAGCACUUUCAGUGGGGAAGAAAGCCUUGGGGCUAAUACCCUCGAGGAAGGACAUCACCCACAGAAGAAGCACCGGCUAACUCCGUGCCAGCAGCCGCGGUAAUACGGAGGGUGCGAGCGUUAAUCGGAAUUACUGGGCGUAAAGCGCGCGUAGGCGGUCUGAUAAGCCGGUUGUGAAAGCCCCGGGCUCAACCUGGGAACGGCAUCCGGAACUGUCAGGCUAGAGUGCAGGAGAGGAAGGUAGAAUUCCCGGUGUAGCGGUGAAAUGCGUAGAGAUCGGGAGGAAUACCAGUGGCGAAGGCGGCCAUCUGGACUGACACUGACGCUGAGGUGCGAAAGCGUGGGUAGCAAACAGGAUUAGAUACCCGAGUAGU
rnacentral:rRNA from 1 species